rnacentral:tRNA from 1 species
GCGAGAGUGGCGGAAUGGCAGACGCACUGGGUUUAGGACCCAGCGGGGAACCGUGGGGGUUCGAGUCCCCCCUCUCGCA